rnacentral:lncRNA from 1 species
UUUUGACGAGCGACUGUGAAGAAUGCAAAGCCAGUGCCAAACUUCGGUAAGUUGAAGAAAGUCGCUGAACUAAGUAACUUGGUUAUUUAUUGCGUCAGGACUGUUGUGCAGGAGCCGAUAGCCCGGGCGGCGUGUUGGCACAGCGAGGAUGAUGAACGAGAGACCCGAUAGACAGCGAUGACAACUGUUCACGGCACCGACACAGAGGACAGAUUGCAGUGCAAGAUAGGAGCGGUCUUCCUGCAAGCCCAGACAAGCCAUAUUGAGUGGUUUCAAAUACAGCAACUGUACCACCACGACAGUGCAGCACAAGAGACCCUAUCGUCACUGCUGAGUCAGAAAUUAAAUAUAAAAGCGCUUUCUCCUGAAAUCUUUCGUCUGGUCUUAUUUCGUUUGUUUGUGAUUGUAAAACAGCACUUUCGUAGCAAAUACAAAUUUAACUA